UACGGAGGGGGCAAGCGUUGUUCGGAAUUACUGGGCGUAAAGGGCGCGCAGGCGGCUGCUCAAGUCAGGCGUGAAAGGCCUGGGCUCAACCCGGGAAUUGCGCUUGAGACUGGGCUGGCUUGAGUGCGGGAGAGGAUGGUGGAAUUCCCAGUGUAGAGGUGAAAUUCGUAGAUAUCGGGAGGAACACCGGUGGCGAAGGCGACCAUCUGGACGGAUACUGACGCUGAGACGCGAAAGCGUGGGUAGCAAACAGG
rnacentral:rRNA from 1 species